GGACUAUUAACUCAUUUAAGUUUUUUAAUCCUCAUAACAAACCUACAACAUUGGUGAUACUGUCACCUUCAUCUUUAGUGCUUUAUGAGGGCCCACCUGGAUAAUCUAGGAUAAUCUCCUCAUUUCAAGAUCCUUAACUUACUUACACCUGCAAAGACCCAUUUUCCAAAUAAGAUACUGAAACCCCCAACCAGGUGGAAGAAGUUAACUGUAUGCUGCCCACAGACAUGUAGACCCCAGAUGGAUUGGAACCAGAAAGUUGAUGAUGCUGACUUCUGAUUACCUCACCACCAACCAAUCAGAAAAAUGUCCACCAGCUGACCACUCCCUGCUCCUUGAACACUAUAAAACUCACUACCCUCUCCAGGGUGGGACACACGGUUCUGAGGGCAAUA